AUAUUAAGGAACAUUAUAUGUGUUCUCUCUCUCUCUCUCUCUCUCUCUCUCUGUGUGUGUGUGUGUGUGAGAGAGAGAGAGAGAGAGAGAGAGAGAGAGAGAGAAUGUAUGCAAUUUGUUGAUGGC